rnacentral:siRNA from 1 species
UACCUUCAGGACAUUUGGCGGUAC